rnacentral:snRNA from 1 species
AAUACGGGCGAGAGACCGAU